AUGCCGGAUCUACCGUAUUAUCUAAUAUCAAGACUAAAGAUGCGAUUCAAAGAUGUAGACAAAGCAAGGGAAUUUUAUAACAGAUACGCCAGACACGCUGGUUUUGGAAUCAGGAAGACGGGAGGAAAUGACAACCACAAGUAUUUUGUUUACGCCUUCCAAGGGAUACACACAUCUUCUAUUUUAGAGGCCAACAGGAAGCGAAACAAAACAUCACAGAGGACGGGCUGCAAUGCAAGAAUGAGGGUGAAGGUGCAGGAGGAUGACACAUGUGUGGCAGUGGACAUUGAGUACAAUCAUAAUCACCAGCUCAUGCAAACUGAUGACAUGCUGGUAUUUUUGCAGUCAUACAAGAAUUAUGACCCCACUAUUUUGGAGUACGUAAAGCUCGUGCAGUACCAUGAUGUGAAGCACACAACAAUCAUGUCCAUGCUAUCUGAAAAUGAAGAUGGAAGCUACUUCCUAAGCAUGACCGGACGAGACCUGCUAAACCAGAAAGCCAUGAAUGCAAGGAAAGAUGAUUUGGAUGAUGUAUUGAAACUUGUUUCAUUCUUCAAAGACAUGGAGGCAAUAAAUGAUGAGUUUUUCUAUAACAUCCAAGUGGACAAGGACAAGUCAAUUAAAAACAUUUUCUGGUCCAAUGCAAGCUGCCGAGGAGCCUAUCAAGACUUUGGCGAUUGCAUAACAUUCGACACAACUUACAAGACCAACAUAUUUCAUAUGCCCUUGGGAGUGUUUGUUGGAACAAACCAUCACUUACAGUCAAUGAUAUUUGUUGUUGCCCUGAUAAGAGACGAAGAUGCAAAGUCAUUCAAGUGGCUGUUCGAUACAUUUCUAUGGUGCAUGAACAACAAGCACCCAACUUGCAUUCUAACAAACCAAUGCCCAUCGAUGGCGAAAGCUAUACCACAAUCAUUUCCAAACACCGUCCACAAGCUACGCUGUUGGCACAUCAUGAAGAAGUACAGGGAAUACCUCGCGUUGCUGUACAAAAAGUAUAAAACAUUCAAAGGGGAGUUCACAACUAUUUUAAACUGGCCGCUGAUGCCAACGGAGUUUGAAGAUGCCUGGGCUAAACUCGUGCACAACUACAACCUGGAGAACGACCAGAUGAUGAUGCAGCUCUGGAGUGAUAGGAAGAUGUGGAUUUUAGCAUAUUACAAGAACAUUAUCUGUGCUAGAAUGACUUCCACACAACGAAGCGAGAGCAUGAACCACGUGCUAAAGAAAGGGUUUGUCAAGGGGACCCAGAACCUACACAAGUUUGCUAGGCGGGUCAAUGCUUGCAUACAAACUCGGAUGCAGAAGGAGAGCAAGCAAACAAUGACCAGCAUGGUAUGA
rnacentral:rRNA from 1 species